rnacentral:rRNA from 1 species
GAUGAACGCUGGCGGCGUGCUUAACACAUGCAAGUCGAACGGUGAAGCAGGAGCUUGCUCUUGUGGAUCAGUGGCGAACGGGUGAGUAACACGUGAGCAACCUGCCCCUGACUCUGGGAUAAGCGCUGGAAACGGCGUCUAAUACUGGAUAUGUGAUGUGACCGCAUGGUCUGCAUCUGGAAAGAAUUUCGGUUGGGGAUGGGCUCGCGGCCUAUCAGCUUGUUGGUGAGGUAAUGGCUCACCAAGGCGUCGACGGGUAGCCGGCCUGAGAGGGUGACCGGCCACACUGGGACUGAGACACGGCCCAGACUCCUACGGGAGGCAGCAGUGGGGAAUAUUGCACAAUGGGCGGAAGCCUGAUGCAGCAACGCCGCGUGAGGGAUGACGGCCUUCGGGUUGUAAACCUCUUUUAGCAGGGAAGAAGCGAAAGUGACGGUACCUGCAGAAAAAGCACCGGCUAACUACGUGCCAGCAGCCGCCGCAG